AUUGAACGCUGGCGGCAUGCCUAACACAUGCAAGUCGAACGGCAGCACUGCAGUAGCAAUACUGUGGGUGGCGAGUGGCGGACGGGUGAGGAAUACGUCGGAAUCUGCCCAGUCGUGGGGGAUAACUAGCCGAAAGGUUAGCUAAUACCGCAUACGACCGAGAGGUGAAAGCGGGGGACCGCAAGGCCUCGCGCGAUUGGAUGAGCCGACGUCGGAUUAGCUAGUUGGCGGGGUAAAGGCCCACCAAGGCGACGAUCCGUGGCUGGUCUGAGAGGAUGAUCAGCCACACUGGAACUGAGACACGGUCCAGACUCCUACGGGAGGCAGCAGUGGGGAAUAUUGGACAAUGGGCGCAAGCCUGAUCCAGCAAUGCCGCGUGUGUGAAGAAGGCC
rnacentral:rRNA from 1 species